CUCACCCCGAAGGGGACUCAGGGCGGAUCACAUUAUAUACAUAUAGGGCAAACAUUCAAUGCCCAUAUACACAUAGAACCGAGACAGAGACAGACGCAGAGGCAAUUUAACCUUCUCCUGAGGGGAUGUUCGAUUCUGGCCACAGGGGGGAGCAGCUGCUUCAUCAUCCACUGUGAUGGCACUUCCUCAUUCCAACGUCGUAAAUUAGUUAAAUUUGCCUCCCCACUUUAUAAGUGGUACCUUAUUUCCUACUUGAUAGAUGCAACUAUCUUUCAGGUUGCUAGGUCAGCAACGAGAAGGGGCUAUUUUUUAUUUUUUCAUUGACGGGUGCUCACCCCGCCACGGGUUGGCCUCGAACUCAUGACCUCAUGGUCAGAGUGAUUUAUUGCAGCAGGCUGCUCACCAGCCUGCGCCACAGCCCAGCCCAGUGCACUUAACACUCAACCAUAACAUGUUUCUUCACAUCAAAUAGCACAAAAAUGCCAACACGUAUUUACAGUGUGGAACAUCGAACAUUGAGCAUGGCAUAGGAGGCUUGCUGAAAAUGGGUUUAGUUCCUAUAUAACAGAGUGGCUUUAGCAUGGCUCUAAACGGCUCCUUCAUCAUGCUGAGUUAUUUACAGACUUACUUUCUUUGGGCCACUGACUGACAGAUGGGAUAAGAUAAUGAGUACAACUUGAGAAAUGUUACCUUUUUUAGACUAGACUCAUAACUGCUGCUGAUGGGUUAAAAGGUUUAAAAAUAUAAGCACAAAUGAAAGUGCACCCUAGGGUGCAUCUAUAUCUAGGUAUUCUAGCAAGACUCGAUGUCAAUGUCUGCUAGAAGCUGAUCAUAAAGUCACACUGAAUGGAAUGAAAAUUGUCUCAAGGUCAGAAAGGAGGAGGAAGAACAACACUCAUUCCUUCAUAGUCUUCAGCAUGCGGGAUUGGGCAGAUCUUCCAAAUGACUUUGGUUUCAAACUGACAAAUGGCAGCACUUGAAGGAGACUCCACCCACUUUUGAUGUCAUGGGGAAUCCCCAGCCCACAGGAGCCGAAAUUGAAACUGAGCCGGUUUCUGACCAAUCAGAGGAGGGCAUGGCAACAUUGAAUGGCUGUCAAAGGGAAUAAAAUAUCUUCUACUGUA